AAUACAAGCUGUUUUCUUGAAUAUCUCAGAACCAAGUCAGUGUGUGACAACUCGAGAGCGGUGGAGUCUAUGUGAUCAGGUGCUAACCUUGUUCUGGUCAGGGGGAGCACCAGGUCAGCACAUUUAAGGAUAUCCAUUUAAAGGCAAUAGCUAACAGUGUGAAGACAGUCUAGUCACCACACCUAUUAUUUGUUUCUCACAAAACACUAUGAGAUAGGUACUACUAUCAUUGCCAUUUUGUCAUCGAGGAAACUGAGGACUAAAAAGUGGAAAUGACUUGCCCAAAGAGGUAGAUCCAGGAAUGGAGUCCAGGCAUAUCUGGCCUACCAACCCACACCUAACAACUUAUGCUGUAUUGUCCCAGAUAGACCAUAUAGUCACCAAGAGCUGCAUCUAAAGGGAACUAGAAAGCCAAAGUCCAGGAUAUGACUCAUGCAGGAAACAAAAGCUACUACAGAUAAGAGCAAAGGAUCAAGUAUCAAGCAUAUCAGACGAAUUUUCUGAAAUCGUUUUUCUCUAACUCCUACUGUUAUGUUCAUUUCUUAUUUCAUCCAAUUUAAAAUUUAUUAAAUAAUACUAUAUGCCCAGGCAUUGAUCUAGGUAAGUGGGAAUCAUUUUUGAUUCCCAUCUUCCCAUCUUUGAUCAAGGCAGACAAAGAUCUCUGCACUUAAGGAGCUCAACUCCUAGAUAGGAAAACAGAAAAUAAAUGAACAUAAUAAAAAGAAAUUAUAAAAGCAUGUUAUAGAGUGUGAGUACAGUGUACAAAAUAAAAUAUAGAUUAUUAUAGUGUUUCAGGAGUACUGUACUGGGGCGAGCAGGAGGCAAGAUUCAACAUGAACAGUAUGGGUAGGAUUGCCUUUACUGAGAAGUAUAAUUUGAAGAAACACUUGAAUGUAGGGAUGAAUCAGGUAGCUAUCAAGAAAAGAGCAUUCUCAGAAGAGUAAAGGCACUAAGGCCAGAAUGUGUCUGGCAUGUUCUAAGACCAGGAACAAAGCUCAGUCUGUCUGAUAUAGAAUGAAACUUGCUCUCAUGACAGAUUGCUAGAGGAAGGGCAGACAGCAUUGAGCCGUAUAGGCAUUGAAAUGACUCUGGCUUUUACUCUGAGUGAAAUGGGAAAUGAGAAACCAUUACAGGGUUCUGAACAAGAGAGGGAUUUGAUCUAACUUUUACUUUCAAAAGGAUUACUUUGGCUGCUGUGUUAGGAAAGACUAAAGGGUCAAGAGUAGAAUACAGGAAACUUGUUGGAGACCAUUUCAAUGAUAUAGACAAGAAUACCAGGAGCAAGUGGUGGCAGCAGAGAAGGUAAGAAGUCAUCAAAUUCUAGAUAUAUUUUGAACCUAGAGCUGCAGAAAGGUAAGAAAGGAAUCAAGGAUGACUGCAAUUUUUUGCCUGAGUAACUGGAAGAAAGUAGUUAUGAACUGAUAUGGAUAAGGCCACAAAGGGAAGAGACACUAGAGGAAGCUCUUGAGCUCAGCUUUGGACUUGGUGUUGAAUGUCUGUUCUACAUCUGGGCAAAGGUGUUAAACAGGCAGGUAGAUAUGUAUAAGUCUGGAGUUUGGAGAGGGAGAUCCAAAUAGAGAUGUAAGAUUGGGAGGUUUCAACAUAAAGAUGUUAUUUAAAGCCAUGAGAUAUCAUGUUAUGUUACCGAGGGGAGACUCUAGCUCGAGAAGAAAAGGGGCUCCAGGACUGAUCUCUAAAACCAGCAAAGGACGUCAAGCAGGAAUGACCAGCGAAGUAGGAAAAAAAAUCUAGGGGGUGAGGUGCUCUGAUGCUGAUGUGAAAGUAGAAUGAAUGCCUUGCACACAUUUUUACUUUUCCAACCUCUGGUUGAAUGCAAAGGAUUCUGAGGACCUAGAGGAGGGGAAUAAUGAGAUUUAAAGAUUUUGGUCACUGGAUGACUGCAUGAAGCCAAGGCGCUCGCUGCCAACCUGGACUGUGAUGAAGGCAAGAAGAAACAUUUUAUUGUAUAGGCCUCUGGCAUACGGGAAUAUUUUUAAACGACUGUUAACCUAUUGCUAACAAUAGCCUACUGUCAACAAGAAAGUACUAUUUUCAAAAAUAUUUUCAUUAGAUUUAUGCUCUUUUGAACUAGAUCUGAAAAAUUAUUCUAAGUUAGAAGUUAUGACAACCCUAGGCUCUCAAUAGUGUUGACCUGGGAUUGGCAAAGCCCGGUUCCAAUGUGGACAUCUGUGAACUGGGAUGGUUAAUGGUUUGUUCCUGAUGCUCACCUUUGAUUGUCUCCCCAAAAUAGCUAUUAUUGAUGGGAAGCUGUCAGUCGGUUUUUAAGGUUCAUCAUUAUGGUUCCUACAUCUUUGAUUGAUUGCUAUAGUUAAAUAAAAAUGUCUACCUUCCCUCAAGUGCAGUUUGGAAUUGGAUUUGGAGAACUGAUUGAAAAAUUGUUGUGAACCUGAGGUUGAUCUCAUGAGCCUUCAUUGUGGUAUAUGUAUCACAGACUAUUCAUUAUCAAGUUUGUAAAGCCUAGCUAAAAAAAGGACAUGUCUGAAUAGCUAUUGCAAUGGUUUCCCAACAUGAUUAGCAUCAAAUCCAAGUGUCUUACUGCUUUCUUCAUGCUGGCCUCUUGCUGUUCUUGGAGCACACCUCACAUGCUUCCUGCAUAGAUCUUCUGCAGUACUUUCUGCAGUUCACACAGAUGCUCACAGGGCUUCUCCUCUCACUUCAUUCUGAACAUUGGUCUCCCUGGCCACCCUACAUAAAAAUAAUAGUUCCCAGUACUCUCUGCCCUCUUUCCCUGAUGCAUUAUUAUUCAUAGCAUUAUGUCUAAGAGACACUAAGUUAGGGAUCUGCUUGUUUCUUUGUUUAUUUUCUGUUUCACCCACGAGAAUGUAAGCUCCCCAAUAGUGGCAGCUUUUUCUUAUUCACUGCUGUAUCCCAACACCUAGAACUGUGCCCAGGACAUAAUAGGAGCUUGACAGAUAUUUGCUGCAUAAAUGAAUGAAUGGAUUAAUAAAUGCUUAUGGUCAUCUGAUUUCUCAAAACAACAGUAUCUAAUCUUAGGAGAGACUGAUCUUUCUCACGGUACAAAAUGCCAUGAUAGCCAAUCUAGAUGCAGCGUAAGCAUAAGAAAUUUCAGAAAAUCUGGCAAAAAAUGCUUUGGCCCUAAUUUCCUCCAAACGCUCUCAUGUAUCUCUGACUACUUCUUUCAUGUUUCAUUUAUGUAUUUAAUGUACAUUCAAUAAAUGUAUAUUAAACAUGAAUUCUUUUCCCAAUUUAAUAAAGAAAAAAAUUCCACCUCUUUCUUAUAUUACAUUUAGUAGAGAUAAUGUCAUGAGUCAGACAGGCUUCCUUCAAAGGAACAAAAUCUCAUUGGCUGUUAUUCAAAACUUUUCCAGGCUCCAAAGGAAAAACAAAAACAAAAAACAGAAAACAAGCCCUGUCUGCACUAGUUACUCUCUAAUAUGUAACCAUGGACUCUACUGGUUUUCAUGUUUCUGCAUAUUUUAAGGCACAUUAACAACCACAAUGAAAAAUAUAAAAUGUGAAAAUGGUUAGCUGUGUGUCAAUAGAAAGUCGGCGUAUGAAAUCCUUCCUGCCACACCAAUUCACAGAGUGCUGAUUUACAUGAUUUUAUAAACUUGGUUACCUGCUCACAAAGUUAUCUAGUGCUUAAAAUGUAAUAAGAGUUAGAGGCUUUAUUCUUUGUUUUUGCUGUGAAAAACUGUGUUUCCUUUAGAGGAGCUCACAAUUUAUAUACUGAAAAUAUAUAAAAGAAUUAUGUGUCAACAAAAUGGUGUUUAAGGUUUUAAAUCAUCCUAACAGUCAGCCCUGAGACUUCCUCACUAGACAUCUCAGAGACUUUAUGAAAGUUUUAUUCUACAAUUCCCUGCUUGCCUUUACUCUUAGCUGCUUCUUCCAGCUAUUCAUAUAGUUUGAAAAAUAGAGUUUAUAUGCUUUAAGUUGCAAGGCAUUUAGAAUUUUCAUAAUCUCUUUAUUGUGGCUGAAGCAGUCAAAAAAAAUGAAGCCUACUGUUGAUAAUAUUUCACUGUGCCUUUACUAGAUUAACUGGGGCAAGAAGCUAGAACUUGUGGCAUUUUAAAAAAUACUCAAUGUUUUAAGAAGCCUUUAUUAUGAGGAAGGUGCAGGAUAAUUAGUUUCAAAAUACUUGGUGAAGAUCAAAGAGCAGGGUGAUAAUGAAGCUUUAUAAAGAAUAGAUGGUGAAGGUAAGGUUCUUGAGAUUAAGAAUUGUACAUUUUUUGUUUUGUAUCUUUCAUUGCAUGUAGCAAUGUGCUAAGCACAUAGUAGGAGAUCAUUAAGUCCUUAUAAUAUUAAUUUAUAAAAGUGUAAUUGAGAAUUAUGCCUAGCAUCAAAUUUCAGGUCUUUUUUUUUAUAAGAUAGUAGUAUGGAAAAUUUUUCUUUGGAUAAUUACCAGUUAAGAAUGAGAUAUAUUUCAGUAAUUGAUAAGCCACAUAUAUGUUCUUUUAUUGUUUUGCAUAAAUUCUUUUAACAUAAGUUUACCCAUAGUAUAUCCCUAUCACCUGUUCCCUUUGGCCCUCCUCCCAUUUGGUUUCUCAUUCAUGGGUUUGGAUAUCUAUUUUUUUCAGUAUUUACUAUCUUCUGGAUACUUAUGUUCCUUACCCAUUGGAAGCACUUAGUCUAGGGGUAAAGACCAAUGAUAAUAGAGGAAAAUUCGAUUCUGUUUUGAUUAACCUCUUAUAUACUAGAGCUAAGAUUCAGUUUAUACUUCCUUGAGUGUUGGAGAGAUUUUAAUAGAGAUUAUUAUAAGAAGACCACAAAAACCCAGGGAAUUAUGAGCAGAAUUGCAGGGUAGUUCUUGAUUCAGGUGGCCCUGGGAUGUCAGUAGUUUCAGAGUAGAGGUUCCUCAUCUUCAGGAUGUUCUCUUCAUUUCUUUGUAUCUUGCCUUCUGCUUACUUGUGGUUUCUUUGCUACUAAAACUUGUUCUUGUGGGGCAUAAGUUAGAAGUUUUCUCUAAAAGUUGACUUUUAAAUUUUGCCCCUGAUUCUAAUUUUGUCCCUGUAUUUCUUAGUUCAAAAUAUGUAGAAAGAUGAAUGAAUGAAUUGGUGCAGCCCAUGUUUUUUUCAAAGCAACCAUGGAUGCCCUUGAAUGGCAUCUGUGUCCAUCCCUAACUCAAUCAGCUGUGAAAAGAGGGUAAGAUCACAUAGUAAAAACAGGUCUAAGUGCUGUCUGUUCAUCAGAGGCUACCAAAGGAGGCAUAGCACAGGCACUGUGUUGAUAUAUCUAGGUCAAACUUACCUUGUAAGUGCUAGGAUGGAAUGGUGCAUGGAAUUCUCUCAGGACACAGAAUUGGAUCACUUGGUUGAGCCUGAGCAUGGUCAGAGCAGACCUCUUGGGCAAGAUUACACUUGAGGUUGAGUCACAUUUGUUCCAGUGAAGAAGCAGAGAAGAGUGUUAGGCAGAGAAAACAGCACAGUAAGAAAUAAGGAUAGAAAGAAGUGUGUUUCAUGGAUUGAACCAUAUAUGGUUUAAUAAAUGUUUCUGAAACUUGAGUUGUUAAGAACAGAGUGGAGGGAGAUAAGAAUAGUGCAAGACAGGAUUUAUGUUAGAGUGCAUAGUGAAAGUAAUAUGAAAACAUUACCUUAUGCAGGGGAGUGACUAUGUUAUGUUAUAAUUGAGAUGCAUUAUCCUGGUGGCAGAUGGAAGAUGUAUAUAAACAUGGCAAGACUGGAGCAGAGACAAAAGGUAGGAAGAUAUUUCAGGUAAGAGAUUGAAAGGAUCCCAACCAGAAAGUGCAGGUAGGAGUAGAAAGAAAGUAAUAUGUUAAAAGAAAUAUUUCUUGAAUAGAAUCAAUGCUAUUUGGUAACUCAUUAAGAUGUGGAAGUUGAGAAAAGUCUUGGUUUUAGUUUGACAAAGUUGGUGGAAAGUAAUUCUGAGGGAAUGUGAGGGGAGGAAAUUGAAAUAGAAAGAUGUUAUGUUGGGAGUGCCUGAGAACUAAGCAUGAAAGAAGUCAAUGACCAAGAUGAAGAGGAAGAGAAACAAAUGGCAUUUUAGUUCAUGAAGUGAUCUAUCCAGCUUUUCUCUGUGUUAAUGAGAAAAAGCAUCAUUGGAAAUGGAAUAGGUGGGGGCAAGUAGGAAAGGGGCAAACCAAAGGUUCAUCCCAAAGAGAUUUAGCUUCAGUCAUCCAAUCACAGAUGGCUAUACUACCUGGUGUUUCAGCAGCAAGUUCCAGUCUAAUGUUGGGAGCCCAUUGCGUGCCCGACACAAGACUUGCCGCACCUUCAGUAAAAUGUAUUCCCAUUGACCCUGAUGAUAUAAUAAUAGAAGGGUAUUCAUUAAACUAACAGGAAAGGGUAGUUUGGAAAAGAUGAAUAAACAUAAACAUUAUCCGUUCCUCAAACAAAUACCCACUAUGUGGUAGACUUUGUUAAAUAAGAAAGCAAAAUCUGCUUCUGCCUGUAAAGGACUUUGAUAAAUUGAAGAUUUAUUUAGGAAAACAAAGUAAGUGGAAAAAUAUUCAUGUUAGUAAACAAAGGAAGAAAAACAAACUACCAAUGGAAUAGAAUAAAUGAUUGAUUUGCCUUAGAUAAGAAUGGCAGAAAAAUGUGGGAUAGGGUGGACUAAGGAUUGAGCAGAUUCAACAAUGUAAAUAAAAUCAAAUAUGAUAUUGAAAUAUCUAAAUAAAAAUAUAGCAUAUAAGAAGAGUAGUGGUUCAUCUUCCUAGGAAGUCAGAUUCCCGAUUGAAUAGUGUAUCUGUUAAAGUUCUUUGUUUCUUAUCAACAGGAAUAGACCCCGGAUGUUAUUUAGGAUGAUUUGACUCAUAAGUAACAGAAAAUUCUAUCAAAAUGGCUUAAACAACAACAACAACAACAAAUCUACUGUCUUAUAUAACUAAAACGUUCAGGCUUCACACUGAUUACAAGUAUUUCCAAAGAUGUGGUUUCUUUCCUUCCCCUGUAGAUUUCACGGUGUUGGCCGCAUCCUAAGACUGGUUUCUCUUAGGUUAGUAAGGCAGAUGCUGACACAGCUAGGACUUCAUGUUCAAGUCUAAUCAUUUUUAAAUAAUUCUCAUUGAAGAUAGAAGUAACCUCUUUCCUAGAAUCCCCCCAAAAACAUGCUUUAUAUUUGAUGGGCCCCAAUUCAGUUAUAUGUCCACUUUCAGACCAUAAGCUGUGGCCAAGACAAGGAGACAUAAUAAUUAACUUGAGCCAAACAAGAGUCCCUCCUUGAGACAGACAUGAAGUGAAUUCCACACCAAUCACAUGACUAGAUGUCUAGAGCCUUGUUAGAAAGAAAGCCAGGGAGGAAGUUGGUUUGUAUGUGGGAGAGACAAUCAGCUAAUGUCUAUUACUGAUUUGCAGGAAAUGAAUGUUUUGGGUGUCCUAGAGGGUAGCUGUGCCUGAUGCUUCAGUUUCCUUAAGGAAAGGCUGAAGAAUUCAUCACAGAAAUAGGACAGGAACUAGGUCAGCUACUGGGGUCAAGGGUCUGAGGUAAUAGGGACCAUCUGAUGGGCAUUUCAGAUUAUACUGCCAGAAUGACCUGACUGCAUUUGCUUUUCCAUUAUUGUUUUGCUCUGCACAAGAGUCAAAGUCACAGUGUAGAGAGUUGGCCAAGUUUGGUUCAUGUGCUCACAAUUCAGCUAGGAAAGCUCAGAGAACCUUGACUGAUGGUCCCAUUGGACUGUUCAUAAUGGAGAAGAGAUACUUGCUCCCAAAGACAUUGGGGUCAUUUUCUAAAUAAAGGUUGAAAGGAUCUGGUUUUCCAAGCAUAAAUGUUCACUGCAGGUAUUAUUAAAUUCCAAAUAUAAAAGGGUAUAAGGAACUUAGAAUGGCUGGAUUAAAGAAAAAGGAUAAUUAUUGACAAAUAGUUUUGAUAGAAAAUGUGUCUGUUCAUCAUCUUUUUACUGAGUAUCUAAUGUAUGCAAUGUGCUACGUGGAUGCUACAAUGAAUUGUAGAGCUAGGAGAAAAGGAACUUAGCCCAUUUAAAGAACAUGCAAUCUGACACCUUAUCUUUAAGGUGAGGAGAGAAGAACUAAACAGAAUAGGGCAGUAGUGAGUAUUAACAUGCAUGGGCUAGAUCCCUAAACUGCAUUAUUCUAAGCCAUCUAAUAAUAAUAACCCAUCUAGGGUCUUUCUCUUAUGCUUUACGUACUCACUUAGUUGCAAAAAUGAUCAUAAACCAAACCAACUUCAGAGGAAGAACCCCAGUACUAUCUAUCCCAGGUUGGAGGCAAGGCUGAGAAGUAAUGAGAAUGUCUUCCUUUUUAUCAUCAUCAAAAUGGGCAGCAUCAAAAUCCCUCAUUAAGAUCCUUAACAUCCAGUCACUUCAAAACAACAGUCAUCAGUUAGAGGGACUAGAGAACUCACUUCAACCAAAGGUCUGUCAGUAGAGAGGUGGUGGCCAGUGAAGGCAGUGCUUGGCACUCCUUUCCCGAGAACUAAGAAAAUUAGAAAUAAACUGUCUGCUCCAAAGAACUUCCAUCCAGCGAUGCAGCAGUACAGAAAAGGGUGAGAAGUAUUGGAUCAGGGGCAGUGUCUCUGACUUCUAUAGGUGCCUUCUGCUAAGAUUCUGCAGUUUUAGGCUCUUUAUUGUAUUUUAGAUCAGUAAUUUUUUUUCUUAUUUUUUAAAAAAAUCCUUUUGCUACUGUAGUACAUUUAAACAUCAGCAGAUGGGGCCCUUGGUUCCUGUGAAGAAUGCCAGGGCUUGAAUUUUGUUCAUGUUUGCAGUCUGCAUGAAUUUUUCUUGUUGCUUUUACAGCAUGUUAAAUUUGUACCCUUUAUAGUUCACAAACCUUUAUAUAAUCAAGAAAAAUAAAACUCACUAAUGGCAAGAAAUUCCUUUUUUUCCCUCUUCUGCUGUUCUAUAGAGAUGUUAGAUCUGUUUACAAAUGGAAAAAUGAGACUAACAUAACACUCAGACAACAUGAUUCUGAAACAGCAACAGAAGUCAAUGUUGUAAUAAUCUGUUGUCCUUAACUCAGGAAGCUGUGAGGGAGGCUUCUGCUGCAUGGGACCACAGGUGACAGUUUGGUUCCAUCCAAGGUUACUCUGAUUCUGCAUUAUUUUCUCUCCACUCUCCUGAAUUUCAUUUUAUGAAGACAUUGUGUGAAUUGGCUGGUUUUUAGCACUUGCCAAUGAUUAUUAUUUUUUUAAGUGAUGUUUGUCGAUAGUCCAUAAGGGAACAACCGGUCAUCUGGUCUUUGCACCUGUUCAAGUGGAUGUGACACCUGAGAUCCUGAGAGAUUAACUUUCUUCAAUUAACACUGAUAGUGAGGUCAGCCAAAUUCAAGGACCUAUUCUUGGGGAAUAAGGCCUCUAAAGACAUUAAGUUCUCCAGUAGGGACUCGUCUGGAGGCUGAGGUGGAAGAAUCGCUGGAACCCAGCAGGUGGAGUUGCAGUGAGCCGAGAUUGCACCACUGCAUUCCAGCCAGAGCAUCUUUCUGGAAUAUGAGCUUCCGAUUUUGAAGACAUUUGUCAAAUUUCACUUCUGCAGAUGGAGGUCGAAAUUGAAUUGCUGCUGACUGUUGUCCCUUGUUAUGGCCUGUGGAGAUAUGACAAUUGAGGAAGAACUUAGAGGAAUGCCAAGUAACAGAGCAUAAAGCUGUGGGUGUGGCCCACUGCCUUGGACAUUUUAUGGCUGAUAGCACUUGGCAAGGAAAAAAUGCAGCCUUGACAGUAGCUUUGCAGAUAGAUUUCAAUAUCAGCCAUGCCUCCACAAUCACCUCUAUUUGAUAUGUCCUUUAAUAUAUGCUUUGUCAAAAUCCACUCUUCUAAUACUCACCUACUUCACUGGUACCUAAAUAACUAAAUAAAUAACACUGGAAGAAUUUCUUUGUUUCAUUACACAUUUGGGCACAGAUAGUACAGGCAAGGCACAUUAAACUCCUUGUCUAUCUACUUUCAAUUCCUUUUGGGCUUGUCUUUUUUUUUUGGUCUGUUUAUUUGUCUAACCAGAGAUUCUUUUCACCUAGGGAAUCCUUGGAUGCUUUUCCAGGGGUGCCUGAUCCAUGUGAACUGAAAACUCUGUAUCAGUGCAUGCAACAAAGUUCAUGUUUUCCCUUUAGAGCGAAAGUCUGUAGCUUUCACAAGAUUCUCAAAGGAGCUUGGGACUUCAAAAAGUUUAUGAAUUCCUGCUUUGGAUCUUUGGUUUAUGGAGCAAUGAAACUUUGUAUGUUUGCUUUAACGAUUGAGGCACAGCAUUUUAUGUGAAUUAGAACAAGGGAGUGGUGGAGAAAAACAGCUUGGAGGGCAUUAUUACCUUUCCCAAUCUUCACUUCUUGUCAUGAAUUAUUAAUCAUGAGGUAACACUUUAUCUGAUGCUUUGAAAACUCUCCCCCUGGUAAGAACAGCCUAAUUGAAUUGGAUGAAGUGGAGCAGGAAGAACUAAACAUGGACGUUGAUGGUUUCACCAAAAGCAAUUAUACACCCUACAGCCUCCUCCACCUGUUUGAAAACCCAAGGCCCACUAAUUCUCAUACCACAAGGGAAUGAAUGGAAAAGUAGAAGAAAAAUUAAAAUUGUUAAGCUUCAAACAUAUCUUCCUUGAGAGUACUCCACUUGGCAAAAGAGUGUAUGUGGGGCUGAGAGAGAGAGUAAGGGAUGUGGUAAAGGGUCUGAUAUACUGGAGAUCAGAGUAGAAGCCAGUCCAGCUUCUCUGGAGGGCAACUUGGCAACAUAACAAAAACUCUAAUGCAGGCAUAAUUCUGCUCAGUAAUAUCAGUUUUAGGAGGCUCAGUUCAGUAACGUACAUGGAUCUAAGAAUUUUAAAUAAUCCGUAUGUGUAAUAGAAUAUGAAACAGUCAUUAGCUUAAUGAUAAAAACAUUUUGACAUGAAACUAUAUUUUUAUAUUUUCUUUUUAAAAAGAUAAUAAACCAAUAUGUGCAUGUGCAGAGUAUAGUACAAUCUCCCAUUGAUAAGAAAAGUAAUAUAGAAUUGGAGAAUAUGUGCCUUAAGGCACAUUUAUAUAUAAGCAUAGAAAAUAAUCUGAUGGGAUA